rnacentral:rRNA from 1 species
UACAGAGGUGGCAAGCGUUGUUCGGAAUUACUGGGCGUAAAGGGCGCGUAGGCGGCCUGCUAAGUCGGAUGUGAAAUCCCUCGGCUCAACCGAGGAACUGCAUCCGAUACUGGCGGGCUUGAAUCCGGGAGAGGGAUGUGGAAUUCCAGGUGUAGCGGUGAAAUGCGUAGAUAUCUGGAGGAACACCGGUGGCGAAGGCGGCAUCCUGGACCGGUAUUGACGCUGAGGCGCGAAAGCUAGGGGAGCAAACGGG